rnacentral:ncRNA from 2 species
UUCCGUAGGUGAACCUGCGGAGGG